GAAAUUUCUUUUAUGCACAAAACCUUCUAUGUGAAUAAAGUUGGUAAUAUGACAUGAUAAUAAGCACAAUGACAUUGGAUAAAAGAUGUAAAUGAGAUGUACGAGUAGGAGUUAAUCUUUUCAAGUAGAAGUAUAUAUGUUUUUAAGGCAAUUGCCUUAUACACCAGCAAUUGCCACACGAACUUAAUGUCCCUCUUUCCAUAAUAGAUCACAAAAAUAUGCAAAACUUGUAAGUUCUUUGUAUGUAUCAAUAGAAAUCAUAAAAAAAAAAAAAUUAAAAGUAAGUUAGUGUGAAUUUAUAAUGAGACAUCUAAGACAUGUAAAUAUUCAGACACUAUAUUAUUUCAUCUGAAUAUUGUAUGGCAUAUCUAAACUUGAAAAC
rnacentral:lncRNA from 1 species